ACGGGGUGCAGCAGGCGCGAAACCUCCGCAAUGCGGGAAACCGCGACGGGGUCAGCCGGAGUGCUCGCGCAUCGCGCGGGCUGUCGGGGUGCCUAAAAAGCACCCCACAGCAAGGGCCGGGCAAGGCCGGUGGCAGCCGCCGCGGUAAUACCGGCGGCCCGAGUGGCGGCCACUUUUAUUGGGCCUAAAGCGUCCGUAGCCGGGCUGGUAAGUCCUCCGGGAAAUCUGGCGGCUUAACCGUCAGACUGCCGGAGGAUACUGCCAGCCUAGGGACCGGGAGAGGCCGGGGGUAUUCCCGGAGUAGGGGUGAAAUCCUGUAAUCCCGGGAGGACCACCUGUGGCGAAGGCGCCCGGCUGGAACGGGUCCGACGGUGAGGGACGAAGGCCAGGGGAGCGAACCGGAUUAGAUACCCGGGUAGUCCUGGCUGUAAACGAUGCGGACUAGGUGUCACCGAAGCUACGAGCUUCGGUGGUGCCGGAGGGAAGCCGUUAAGUCCGCCGCCUGGGGAGUACGGCCGCAAGGCUGAAACUUAAAGGAAUUGGCGGGGGAG
rnacentral:rRNA from 1 species